GGAAUAUUGCACAAUGGGGGCAACCCUGAUGCAGCCAUGCCGCGUGUGUGAAGAAGGCCUUCGGGUUGUAAAGCACUUUCAGCGAGGAGGAAAGGGUGACGGUGAAUAGCCGUUAUCUGUGACGUUCCUCGCAGAAGAAGCACCGGCUAACUCCGUGCCCGCAGCCGCGGUAAUACGGAGGGUGCAAGCGUUAAUCGGAAUGACUGGGCGUAAAGCGCACGCAGGCGGUUUGUUAAGCCAGAUGUGAAAGCCCCGGGCUCAACCUGGGAACUGCAUUUGGAACUGGCAAACUAGAGUCUUGGAGAGGGGGGUAGAAUUUCCGGUGUAGCGGUGAAAUGCGUAGAGAUCGGAAGGAAUACCAGUGGCGAAGGCGGCCCCCUGGCCAAAGACUGACGCUCAGGUGCGAAAGCGUGGGGAGCAAA
rnacentral:rRNA from 1 species